AUAAGAAAACAGGGGAGCUUGUAUACAGGCUGAGAGGAAGUUGCGAACUUCGACCCAUAAACCUGAUGUGGAUAAUGCCAACGUAGGGAUACAGAAGUGGUAAAUUU
rnacentral:ncRNA from 1 species